GUGCCAGCAGCGGCGGUAAUACGUAGGUGGCAAGCGUUGUCCGGAUUUAUUGGGCGUAAAGCGAGCGCAGGCGGUUUCUUAAGUCUGAUGUGAAAGCCCCCGGCUCAACCGGGGAGGGUCAUUGGAAACUGGGAGACUUGAGUGCAGAAGAGGAGAGUGGAAUUCCAUGUGUAGCGGUGAAAUGCGUAGAUAUAUGGAGGAACACCAGUGGCGAAGGCGGCUCUCUGGUCUGUAACUGACGCUGAGGCUCGAAAGCGUGGGGAGCGAACAGGAUUAGAUACCCUGGUAGUCCACGCCGUAAACGAUGAGUGCUAAGUGUUGGAGGUUUCCGCCUUCAGUGCUGCAGCAAACGCAUUAAGCACUCCGCCUGGGGAGUACGACCGCAAGGUUGAAACUCAAAGGAAUUGACGGGGCCCGCACAAGCGGUGGAGCAUGUGGUUUAAUUCGAAGCAACGCGAAGAACUUACCAGGUCUUGACAUCCUUUGACCACUCUAGAGAUAGAGCUUCCCUUC
rnacentral:rRNA from 1 species